rnacentral:misc_RNA from 1 species
ACAGAUAAGUAUCGGGCAUAUCCAGUUGGAGACGCACCUGAUGUUUUUUAGCUUUUGGCAAGUUAUUCUCCUAUAAGCAUUGAAAAAUGUAUUUUUAAAAGGGAAAUAUUGUGAUUUUAUUUAUUUUAAAACAAAUUAUAAGUAUUAAAAGUGAUCGUGAACAAAUAUCGGUCGCUCUGGAUCAGUUUAAAACCUUGGGGGUACUUUGAAAAACAACCUUCGAUUGGAUAUCUCUACCACCAGACUGUUUGUGCAAACCGACUCAUUAACAUAUACAUACGUAAAAGCAGUCCAUUCAACUUUUGUAAAAACCCACAGUGAUUAAUAAAAGGAACAAUGGCUUCCGAUAUAGAAAUUGCAAACCUCAACAACUUUGAAAAAAUACAGAACUUUCUCAACGAUUCCGCCUAUAAAGAGAUACUGGAGAAUAGCGAGAACUUCAACACACGUUUGUGCAUUGAACGUCGACUGCGUAUGCCGUUUUUGGAUCCGCAGACGGGUGUCGCCCAAACGCAUUGUGCUUUGUUCAUGAAGCAACGUCAACGUAUGCCUGGCUUCCGCGAUGGUCAGAUCUACACGUAUCCAUCAGCUCGUUGGCGUAAACCCAAACGCCAGUACUUACUCAAUCAUCAUCACAGCUAUAGGGCAUACCAGUAUCGUGAGCCUCACUAUCACCAAUCAACCGGUAAUACCUCGGCGCGCGAUCAUUAUCAAGCAGAAAGUGCAGCUAUCGUCGCUGCCGACGGCAAUUCAAUGAGCGCUUCGGGCGAUAACGACAGUAAAGAUUCUCACGCCAAUGCUGAAAAAGAUUGGUUCCACGAGGACAUAGAUAUGUCUCACUAUCACCAUGUUGAUGACUUCGAAGAGGACUUUGAAUCGGACAAUGAUUUCGAUGAAUCGUAUAGUAGCCGUGGCAAACGUAAACGUGGUUCACGCUCCGCUCGCAGGAGCACUGCUGCUGUCGAUGGUACACCAAAGCGGGGUCGCAAAGGAGGCGGUGUGUAUCACGUGGCACAUGAAAAGCAUUUUAUGAAUUUUAAAAGUCAUAAUUACUUGUUUUCUCAUGCAGGCAGUCGUCGUCGCAAUAACGCUGAUGGUGAAGGCGGCGGCCGUCGACGUGGUGGCGCGAGCAAUGCCAACAACAACAAUGCAAACACAGCUGCUGCUGCAGCCGCAGCUGCUGCCGCUGUUGCUGCUGCAGCUAGUGUCGUGGCCUCCAGCAUGGAAGUGAGCAAUUCGAAUUCAGCUUCUCCAAUCGGUACAAACGAUGAAACAUCACAGUCUGCAAUAGUAAUACCACCUGGAACGGCAACUGCUGCUGGUACAACAUUUGACAAGACUUUAAGCGAAGCUAAUAUAGUUGCUGCUGCUGCUGGAAGUGUUGCUGAGACCGCAACGCCUGUACUACCCAGUACAAGUGUCGUUAGUGGUGCUGCAAGCGCUACCACGGCACCAUCCGUCACUCCUCCAACGACAGUAGCAGCAAGUGCAGUCACACCACCAGUAGUAGCCGUUACUGCAGUGAAGAAAGAUCUUAAAAAUAAAAUGCGUGCUGAUCGUGAGGUUGCAACUCCUUCAACCUAUUGCGACUUCUGUUUGGGCGAUCAACGCGAGAAUAAGAAGACCAACUUGCCGGAGGAAUUAGUUUCGUGUUCGGAUUGUGGCCGCUCCGGUCAUCCAUCUUGCCUACAAUUUACACCAAAUAUGAUAAUCUCAGUGAAGCGUUAUCGCUGGCAAUGCAUCGAAUGCAAAUAUUGUUCCAUUUGUGGGACUUCGGAUAAUGACGAUCAAUUGCUUUUCUGCGAUGACUGCGAUCGUGGUUAUCAUAUGUAUUGUUUGUCACCUCCAUUGAUAACACCACCGGAAGGAUCAUGGAGCUGUAAACUUUGUAUGGAAGAGUUCCAUAAAGAUGAGAAAUAAUGGAACUACACAAUGGAGCAACGACUUCCAAUGAACACUGCUUCCAAUAGAACAGCCACAAUGAAAACAGCCGGAGUUGAAUUGAUGUACACCGAUAUCUGGACUUUGUUGAUCUUCUGAAAUUGACACGAAAGAGUUGCAUUGAUUCAUUGAUCAGCAGUUCUCGUUUAGAAUUUUCUAUUUGAUUUAAACGCAUCAGGUAUUCCUUAGCGCCGCUAACUCAGUUCACAAAACCUUGCAGAGUUUACAUGCAAACUUUGUUUUAUUUUAAAAAUAAUUGUAUAAGCUGAAAACUUCACAAGACGGCAACUUUUCGUAUGUAUUUUAGAUUUUAAAUUAGUCUUAAGUUAUCAUGUCACUUAUGCCGCUAACAAUCUACGCAGUUGGCUCCUUGGUAAAUUAGUAUUGCAUUAAGCAUCGCCCAAUUCAUCGUCCUCAAGUAUUUUAGUAUAUUUCUUCUAUGUAUAUUCUUGUAAAUUUUGUUUGUACUAAAUACAAAUAGGUAUUGCAAAGUGUAAUUGGCUUGAUCCUAUUCGUAAGGUUUUCUGCUUACGUAGUUUAUUUCAAAACAGUUUUGUGUUUAUAUUCAGACAGGUUCUGCAAUUCGCUUCCGAGUGUAUUUCAACCACUGCCAAUUUGAAUUCAAAGCGUAUUUGAUUGAAAUUCAUUUGGAAGUUGAUUGUAGAACCUGCCCCAUUAAAAUAAGUUCCUUUUUCGAAAAUAUGUAUUUCUGUAAAGAUUUCUAAGCAAAACAAAGUACCACAAAAAUAUUAUUUCGAAUAAUAAAUCCAUAUACAAUCAUAUAUAAGCAUAUAACCGUACGAUCCAAUGGAAAAUAAUGUAUUUCAUAAAUAUUUAUUGGAAUAUAAUCGCCGUCAUUGAGCAAUAAUAAUAAAUCAUGACUAAACCCAA